rnacentral:snRNA from 1 species
CUGAUUUGACAGCACAUAUACUAAAAUUGGAACAAUACAGAGAAGAUCAGCUUGGCCCCUGCGCAGGCUUGAGUCCUAAUAUAGCAAUGACUGAAUUAAAAAUAGUU